GAUGAACGCUGGCGGCGUGCCUAAUACAUGCAAGUCGAGCGAACGGACGAGAAGCUUGCUUCUCUGAUGUUAGCGGCGGACGGGUGAGUAACACGUGGAUAACCUACCUAUAAGACUGGGAUAACUUCGGGAAACCGUAGCUAAUACCGGAUAAUAUUUUGAACCGCAUGGUUCAAUAGUGAAAGACGGUCUUGCUGUCACUUAUAGAUGGAUCCGCGCUGCAUUAGCUAGUUGGUAAGGUAACGGCUUACCAAGGCAACGAUGCAUAGCCGACCUGAGAGGGUGAUCGGCCACACUGGAACUGAGACACGGUCCAGACUCCUACGGGAGGCAGCAGUAGGGUAUCUUCCGCAAUGGGCGAAAGCCUGACGGAGCAACGCCGCGUGAGUGAUGAAGGUCUUCGGAUCGUAAAACUCUGUUAUUAGGGAAGAACAUAUGUGUAAGUAACUGUGCACAUCUUGACGGUACCUAAUCAGAAAGCCACGGCUAACUACGUG
rnacentral:rRNA from 1 species